rfam:Triticum aestivum genome assembly, contig: Triticum_aestivum_CS42_TGACv1_scaffold_679580_T_7AS-0.202504_4AL-0.147566
UGCCAUAUGAUGAGAGACCUUAUCCAACUCACAGCGGUCGUCUGGACACUUAGUGUGUAAUGGUGCAUACAUAUUUCGCUGAUGGCA